GGCCAGCUAGCUUAGUUGGUAGAGUAUUGUGCUAAUGAUGCGAAGGUCUUAGGUUCGAUCCCCACACUGGCCA
rnacentral:tRNA from 1 species